rnacentral:rRNA from 1 species
GAGUUCCUACGGGAGGCAGCAGUGGGGAAUAUUGGACAAUGGGGGGAACCCUGAUCCAGCGACGCCGCGUGAGUGAAGAAGUAUUUCGGUAUGUAAAGCUCUAUCAGCAGGGAAGAAAGAAAUGACGGUACCUGACUAAGAAGCCCCGGCUAACUACGUGCCAGCAGCCGCGGUAAUACGUAGGGGGCAAGCGUUAUCCGGAUUUACUGGGUGUAAAGGGAGCGUAGACGGCGAUGCAAGUCUGAAGUGAAAGGCAGGGGCCCUACCCCCGGACUGCUUUGGACACUGUUGUGC